rnacentral:lncRNA from 1 species
AAAAUCGUGCUUAGAUCUGCCAGAAAUCAGACGGAAUGACCCAAAAUUUAUACACUCUAUUAAUAGUUGAAUGGCUAAAACUCAACUAUUCAAAAAAUUCAGUGGCUAUCUAGAUAAUUUGCUCCUAUAAAAAAUUAUGUUACCCUAUAUUAAUCAGCUCGAAAACAAGAUUAACGGAUCAUCAAGGGAGAAUGAUCCUUCCUAACAAAAACACAUCGCAACAAUCCAGAAAUCUGUGGGUUAGCUAGUGACCAGAAGUCAUAUAUAAGCGCCUCGUCAAUAACAAUAAAAUCCCGGCACGAUGAGAAAUUCAACGCGCUGAAUCAGUGAAAUUUGGUGGUGAUGAGCUAGCUGUGGCUGAAGCAGAGGUCUUGUCAUGAUCACCCUGGCUAUCUCGGGAGUGAAAUAAACGCAAUCCCUUGGACAUGUUGCUGACGGCCUCGGCCAAGUCCCCGACUAUUUUGGCCUUGAUCUGGCCCCUCUUAGGGGGAUGAGCAACCCGUUGUUGUUUCUCCAGCUUGUUGCAUUGUUUCACGUCUUUAGCUCCUUCAUUCUCCAUUUCACCUGAAAAGCUGGUGCAAGAUGGAAUUAGUAGGGAACUUUCAGGGCAGAGUUUUGGGCUAUUAAUCACAAAUUGAGAAAAUGUUGAAUCCUCACAGUACCACAGAUGGAGAAAAAUUGAAGCUUUACGUAAAAGAGGGUGGUCUUUAGCUUUAUAAUAUAGGUGGAACGCUGAAGAUCUUGGUUUUGUUUGGCGACUGAGCCAACCUUGAUAGUAAUGAAGUUGUAAAUUUGAAUGAUCGUAGAGUCAAAUGGCAGUGAAGAAGUCAAGAAGAAGAAACGUGGAAGAAGGAAGGAGGGUAGUCGCUCUGCGUGGUGAGGGCGUGACUUGGGAUGAAUCUACCUGGUGUCUCUGGUGUCUAGUGCUCCUCUUCUUCUCGUACGUAUAUAUAUAUAAGCGGAUAAGCUUUAAAAUAUUUGGAGUUUUACCAUGAAUUCCACCAGGUGUGAACGCAAUUAAGCA